rnacentral:rRNA from 1 species
UACGGGGGGGGCAAGCGUUGUUCGGAAUUACGGGGCGUAAAGGGCUCGUAGGUGGCCAACUAAGUCAGACGUGAAAUCCCUCGGCUUAACCGGGGAACUGCGUCUGAUACUGGAUGGCUUGAGUUUGGGAGAGGGAUGCGGAAUUCCAGGUGUAGCGGUGAAAUGCGUAGAUAUCUGGAGGAACACCGGUGGCGAAGGCGGCAUCCUGGACCAACACUGACACUGAGGAGCGAAAGCCAGGGGAGCAAACGGG